ensembl:lncRNA
UCCUGCCCAGCUACAUCAGAUCAGCCAACAACUUUGUAAUUGCUAAAAACAGCCUGUUGAUUUUCCUCCUAAGUGCUUCAGCUGGCCUGGCUGAGCUUUCUCUUUUCCACUGUCUUGAGAUGUUUCUCUCAUUGUGCACUACGCCGUAUUUUUAUGGUCAACAUAUCCUAUAGCAAACAAUUUCAGGCUGAUGGCGGAAGGGAGAUUGGAUUCAGAUCGGAGAUUUGAGCCCCGGAUGGGGAGCCAGGAACGCCUCAGUUCCUGGACCAGAUCUGCCACUAAAUCAGGAAUCCACAUAAAGCAAAGCCACAUGACGAGCAACUGCAGGAUGAUUUGAUUUUGUGUGCAGAGGAGGAAGCGAGUGUUUGAACACGGCUCUCGCCUUGGUGCGCCCGCUGCAACUGGAGCCGCCAUUACAGGACUGCAGCAGGAGCUUGCUGCAUCUUGGCUUUCUAUUUAGAGUGAGAAUGAGAGGAAUUGAGGAUCCCCCUGUUCUGCGCAAAGCCCAGGAGAAGGAAGAGAUGCAGGAGGAGUUGCCUGUCUCCAGCCACUGCCCAGGCACAGGGGACAGAGGCACACCCACAGCCACUGUGGCGCAGCUGAGUUCCUCCACAGCCAGAAAUGGUGGGAGAAAACUCUGGUGCUGAGUCACAUUUCCUUCCCAUGGGCUCAUGCUGGGAUGGAUGGAUGCGCCUGCCCUGUGCCUGCAGGGCCUCACUGCAUGGCUCCUGCUGGGUGAGCGUGCUGGACUGAUCGAGGUGGAUGCAGUGGUCCCCGUCAGAUGUGUGCCAAAUUGAAAUGCCAGCAGCUGUGUGAGCAGCGGGAUAAUCAUAUCUGCUGCUUCUCUCUUCCAAGUCCUGGCAUUCCCAUUUCAGCAAUGGUGUGUCCGUGCUCAGCUCCGCGGGAGGAAAUCCAUUGACCGAAGCCAUGCUGACGCCUGGGGGAUGCGGUUACAUGUUCAUCAGUCACCUGUCUGACUGUGGACCCACUGGGAUGCAGAGCAAUAGGAGAGCAAUGGACUGUCCUCAAAGAGGGCCAUGAGCUGCACUGCCAGUGGGGAAGAACUGCUUCUGCUCAUCCGGGUAAUGUCGCUGUGUUGGCUGAAAAGUCUCCACUUGGUCCUGAGCGGUGCCACCUGCAGAUCCCUGCACCCACUGGAACAAAAUAAAAAGGUGUCGUAUGUGGUUUCAUGGCAGCAGGGAGGUGACAGCACACAUGGGCUGAGAAGCAGAAAUCCCCUUCAACAGCAGAGACUAUCUCUGCCAGCAGGUAGAGAAGAGGUUGUUUGUCUGAAGAAAGAAGGGUGUGGUGGAAAUACUUCAUGCCAGUCAAGUCAACCAAAAUACUACCUGAGUUACAAAGCAUGCUGGAAAACAAAAUUAAACAGAAGAUCUGGGCCCCACCUGUGCUCUCCCAGGAGCGACUGAGAGAAAAGGAGUUCUGGGAGCUGGGAACACACAGCUCCCUGCAGAUUCAUCUCAGUGACUGUGAAAUUCCUGAGGAUGUUAUUACUUUCAAGUCAGAUUAACGGAGUAAUUUCCAGUUGCCACCUGUGAAGAGAUUCCUACCUAUCCUGGCAGGCAAUUGUUCAGUCUUAUUGAGCUUCAAAUAACUUUACAGCUUGAAAUUCUGAACAACCAUGCUACCAGAAUACAUGAUACUACUCCUAAAGUGGACCUCAAAAACUUUGAGAAAGAAAAUGAUUCCAUCUUUUUUGAUCAGGUUCUUCCUCUACAGGAGUUCCUGCAGCUACAGGACCAGGAGGUAAGACCCUUGGUUUCAAUCGUAAAGGGGAAGCAUGAAUGAGAUUGCCAGAUACACUGAGUUUGCAGUCAGUGAGCUGAGAAAAGCAUGACUGCAAGCUACCUUUCUGCUUUCCAAAUCCUGCACUUGUGAAAAAUCAAAACAUCGUUUAGGUCAGCCUGCAGGUAUAGAGUAUACUUCACCUCCCAUGAACUGGGGAUGGAAAGUGAAGGAAGGACUGUUGCGGAGCUGCUGGUUCUCCUCUCUCCAAAGACUUCCUGCUGAGGAGAAUCCUCAGUUGUCCAUUUAGGGUAGUAUUAGAGCUGAGCUGAACUGCUGAGGCAUGCAAAGAAGCUGCAGAUGGGACUGGGAGUACAGCUCCACACUCCUCUGUUGAGCCACCCAGUUACAGCAAAUGCCUGCUGUAGAUGGGUACUGAGGCUGCUGGUAAUGGCUAGAGGCAGAGAAAUGGGUCUGGUUUUAAUAAAAAGGUAGUUUACGAACAGCAUUUUUCUUAUUUUAAUGAUAAAAUGGAUAUGAAACAGUUACACUCCAGGCCCUUAUUUUUUCAGUGCUAUUAUUUUUUUAGAACAUUGAAAACAAAAUAAGCAGAAGGAGAAAAAAAAAGGAGGGGGGGGGGGGAGAAGAAAACUCCCUUCAGACAACAAUCACCUUUUGAGUUAAAUUCUCAUGCUUGGUCUUAGCCCAGAGGGAUUUGUCUUGAGUGAAGUUUGAAGAAAAUCCUUUCAGCAGUUUCUGAGUUAUUUAAAUGUAACCAUGGAGGUUUGGAUUCACAUGCUUUUUUUGCACUUGUAUAACUCAAAAAUAGCUUUGCUUUAAAACUUCUAAAUUAACCCUCCUUAACUUUUCAACUUGUCACCUAUCCUGCUGCCUGGCUUGUAAAAUUUUAAAGGUAAUAGUAUAACAAACUCAAAUAAUGAUACUGCAGAUGUUCAAAUGAAUCUUGGGAGGAAUAAAUUAUAGAAGUCACAGAAGGUUGUUUCUGAAGAAAGAGCAGCCGUGUGCUUUAAACCAUGUGUUCUUGCUGGUCUGAAAUGGGCCCAAUCUUUUCUACUAUUAAAAAGCGUAAGUAUGUUUGGGUGUGGAUUUUAAUACUUGGUUACACACAUGAAAUUGAGCACCUAAGUCCUGUUCCUUUUUGUCUUUCUGACAGCAGUGCUUCAGACUUGUCAGAAGUUUUACUGUUCUCUUUUUAUUGUGAUCCUGAUCAACAGGACACUUCAGUGCCUCCUAAAUAUUUAUGGACUUCAGAGUCAUUCAGAUGCUCUGUGAUUGUCUUACUGUUACUGUUUUAUUGCCAGAAGAUGGAGGCAAUACCAGAAGUGACUUGGUCAGCCUUGGUUUUCCCCUUUUUCUUUGUCCAGUCCUCGUGUCUUUUACGUUUCUUCUGUUUUGUCUUCUUUCCAGUGUUUCUGCCUCACUGACUAGUCCUGUCCUCACUGCCUCCUAUCUGUCUUUCAUACAUCUGUCUCCAUUUAUUCUUCUCUAACAAUUGCACUAAAGAGGGCCCAUGAUAGAGAGAAAUGCUUUUUGCCUUGGCAGCAGCCUUCCCCUAAAUAUCUGGGAUGGGUCCAAGCAGCUCUCGCCGUGUUUGUCAUCCUUCUCCACAUCCCUGGUGUCCCUGAGCUCCAGCCAGCAAUUCCAUAUCUGCCACGAGGGCACCUCCCAUUCAGCCACAAUCAGAUGAAGGUGUUGUAAUGCUGUGUGCUACUUGCACUGCUCACCAUGCUUGAACAGCCUCUUUCUAGGAACUGAACGUGUGCACCAGGCCUUUCCCACAGAAUAAUGACAGAUAGCAAUGCUGCCUUUUGCACGUCUUGCCUGUGCUCCUCUGCCCUUCUUUCUCUAAUAGGCUUUUGUGGUUCAGUCUGCUGGCUGGUGCCAUUACACUCAGACACAAGACUUGUCUUCAGCUUUGCCCAGGGCGAGGUGAGCUGGAAUCCCUUGCCCCCCUAGUCAGCACUCUACCCAAGAGAUUAUCAGCUGUUCUGCAAGGAGUGUGUCCUUGCAGCCCUGAGUGUGUGUGUCCUGAGUCCUUUCUCCAUGUGGGAAAGCUUGCGCUGGACUUGUCAGCUGCAUAGUGGAAAAACAUGUCUGUCAGGCCCUACCUUCAGAAAUACAAAAUAUGGAAGUAUUCACUAGAAAGGGGAAACAGAACCCAAGUUUCUUCCUCAGUAAUGCUCUGAGAGCAAUUAUUCCUUACAAACUGGAACAGCUCCAAGGGAAUGGACCCCUAUUCCACUGGAUUCUUUCAGGCUGUGCUGUUCUCGCUUGGCUGCUGAGAGUCAAAUUGUGGGAAUGGAUAGUGAGGAAAUAUGUAGAGGCUGUAAGGGAGGGAAGGAAAAGGUGCUUCUGAACAUACUCUGUUAUCCACGGUGACAGGUCCAUAUCCUUAGCAGACACACACACCUGCCACUACUGCCUCUGUGGCUAUUCUGGACAGGAGUGACAAUGAAAAUGCCGUGGAGGGAAAAAAAAUCUGCUAAAAGACAGGGCAACAGACUGGGGCACUGUAAGGGUGAUUGCUUCUAAAGGUGAAAAUGCAACAAAAACAGACUAAAGAGUCUUAAAAUGCAAAAUCAAUGCCAAAGAAGAGGAAGCCAAAAUGACUUCCAAGCUCAUCUACAGGCAGUUGUCCCCAAGCACAAGCCAGACUCUUAGGUGGGAGACAUCCAGGAAUUUUCUCUCAUACAAAAUUAUUAGGGAUGUUAUAUGUUUUAACUCGAAUGGAAAAGCUGGACCUCUGGCGCUCAGUUCCAAGGGAAAAUACUAGCCAUUGGAAGAGCUGUGGUACCACGGCUCUGUGUGUGUGUGUGUAUGUGUGUGUGGCUGCUCCCUUUUCUCUUAGCUAUUCUAUAGCUUCCUUCAUUCUUCGCUUCUCUCAUAUUACAGAAAGAAGGUAAUUUUUCCUGGCCAUUUACUAAAGCUCAUUAAAGACCGAAGAGAACAAACAAUGCUACUCCUUAGAGACUACCAUUCAAAGUCAUUCUACAAUUCUCUGUUCUAAUACUUGAGACAAAUUAAUUAUUCCUUACUGAAAAGUAUAUAAUUCCUAUUCUUCAUUUUUGGGGUGGGGAGUGGGGAAUAAUAAUAGGAAGUUUAUAUCUGAGUCGAAAGCUGUCUGUGCUGAAGGGAAAUGAGAAAAAAUGCGUGUUCCGAGAAGAGUAAAAGCAAUUAUUCUAAUAAUAAUUCUAGGGAUAUUAAUGUCUUUUUAAAGUAGAUUGCUUUCAAAUAAACACCAAAGUUGAAGGGAUAGGAAAGGCUGGUUUAUUUAUUAAUCAUUUCAAAAGUGCAUUUUUCUAAAUGAACAAGUGCAUGAGCAACUUCACUGGCACAUAUUAAAUUUAGUUAAAUGGCAACUUGUAAAUGUCUAAAAACUUCUGUAACCAGAGACUAAUUUGUUUAACGUGUUGAAAAUGUUAUGUGGAUGUGAGGAACUACAUAUUAAACUUCAAAGCAAAAUACUCCAGAGAUUACACCAUCUUAAAGACUGCGUAUUGGAAAGGCCUUUAUACAUUAAACAUAAAGGAUUUUUAAUUCUCUUCUAUUUUGAAUACUUGUCAAUCUGUGUGACUCAUGCUCAGGAUUGUAAACUGUCAUUUAAGGUGUGAUGUCCAAGUUGAGGCCUGGACCACAAUUUGCAAGGGGCUGGCUUUUCUCUUUCAUCUCUAUUAAUUAAUCCUGUCUCAGUUUGCCCAGCGUACACUGCUGUUGACAUCACCUUUUCCAUAUACUUUAAAGAGUCCCCCGAGAGAUCUACUGCAGAACAAAAACUGGACAGAGAAUACAUUUGGAAACCAUUUUAUUUUUCAAUUACCAACCAAAACGUAUGGAAAAGAUUUACACUCUAUCUGAUUUACACAAUAAUUAUACUUUGAAAGCUUAGAAAUAAAUGGCUUGAUCCAUGGAAUCAUUAGUUACUAUACCAAAUGUAAUUGGUGUAAACUAAUGAGUUUACUGGAUGGCUGACCCUUAAUUACUGAUUAUAGUUAAAUGCUAGCCAAUCAAAAAUGAGUUUACUUAUAAAAGUACAGUAUAGUAUUAACAAGCAUUACAUUUCCAAGUAAGCAGCUUUAUGAUUAGUUGUAGCACACAACUCGAGCCUGUUCAGGGCUAUGAAAAGCAGCUUUUUAAUAAUAGUGCACUAAGCAACCAUCACUCUCUUACCUCAGCAUCUAUCAGACAAACAGAAAGAAACCACAUAAUUAAUCAUCUCAUGCACUAGAAAUAAAGUGUCUGGGCCAGAUCCAGCCAGGAUAUACGCAGCCGUAGUCAGAGGAGCUCCAAGAGGCUCAGGAUUUGCUUUAAAAUAGGAUACCUGACGUGGUGAAUUCUGUCCCCCUGUAGUAAGGAUGUUAAAUAUUGAUUGAUUGUACACAGUCCUGUGUGAUGUGGAGAAGCCCAUCAACAACGUUGCCUAAUAAUUCCUCCAAUUGAGGAGGAUUCCUUGAGCAGAUUCUGUAUGUGGUGAGAAGAUACCCACUCACUCCACUAGCAGCCCUCAACAUGCAGAAAUUCACAGCUCCUCACUAUUUAUUAUGUCAAAUGAAGAGUCAACUUUUAAAUAAACUAGUAAACGAGAAGAAAAUCUUUGUAUUUGUUUCUGGCCGAUCCUUAAGAGUUAAUGUUUUUACCUAACCAGGAAAACUCAAAAUUCUUAUUACAAAAAAUUGAAAGCAGAUUUGUAUAAAAGAGCAUGAUUUCAGAGUUGCAACUUUAAAUAGAUACAGCAAAUAUUUGGAUAAAAUCGUAGGACUUUACAAUAGUCAUAUUCUUAGAGGCACUUAGGUAAGUAAGGACAAUGUUUUAAAGAUGUGGAAAUUCUCCAUCUCCUCUAACUUUCCCGUGAAUCCUAAAUUUCAAGAUAGGAGACUGCUGCUGGGAGGCAUGUGCAUUAGCAAAUGAAGUCUGAUACACUGCAGCCAUGGGGACCAAGUUGGAAGAGUAUGCAUUUGCUGGAGCUCUGUAACCCAUGUGCUCUUCAGAUGACCUCAUGCACCUCACGGUUGCCAGGAUUCAUCCUGUCUGGAUUACAGGUUUCUCCCAUUUCUGCUUCUCUCUAUGAAGUUGUCCUCAGUGCUCACCUCACGUAAAGAGCUAGGCUCAGUGAAGGACCAUCCUCAUCUGGUGGCUCUUUGGCACAAGUGCUGUAACACUUGCUCGUUUAUUAUUAAAAAACAAUCUUAAAACUCAGAAGAUGAAGAAUGAAUUACUUCUUGGAGCGUCUGCAUACGGGUUAAAAAGAAAUUCGCACAUUUACUGAAUUCCUGUUUUUCAGAUGUCCGAGGUCAAGAAAAGGUUAAAGUUGUUCACUGCUUUCAAGCUCUGGCCUUAGAAGUUAAUUCAGUGCUGUGCUGCGAGAGCUACAGAGUAAAUCCUUGGAACAGUGAAUUGCUGGUUUGAUAUCAAGGUCUGUGGGCUUUAAUAAUAUAAUUAGUUUGUUUGCAAAGGAAAUCCUAGCAGGGACAUUAUGGUCAUAUAAAGUCAUUAUACUGUUUUACAACAUAACUUUAACGAUGUUUUGGAAUGAUCAGUCUGUGGGAAAGGAUUCUAUUUUUUAUUACUUGUGGGAUAUCUUUAAACUGUCAUAGCUACAACAGUGCCUCUUGGAAUAGGUGCUCUACAGUUCAAAGGAAAAGACAGAAGGUAUUUAGAGGCCUAAGUUAGGUUGCUGGGCAUAUCUGUCCAGAGAAAGCCUGAAAGUUAAAUUGUGUGGAUUCCAUGCCCUUCUGGCAACCAGCUCCUGUUUUGUAGGAGGUGGACACUUGGGGUAAUCUAGGUAUUUUACUGCAUUUCCACAAGAGCAGAUAGAGAGCCUAGGACACUACAAGCUUUGUUUUUCAUAGUUCUCUGUCUGAGAAUUCAGGGGUGAGCAGUUUUAAAAGUAUUAGAAAAGGACGAGGGCAUAUUUUCCAAAACUUUGAUAUCCUGUGAACUCAAAGGCAGAAGAAACAUUAAACUAGUCAGUUCUGCUGCCAUUUCUGCUCUGCUAAUGCUGAGGCAACACUCUUUGCUGCAAGAGAAGAGAGACAAAGAACCAUUAAUUUGGGAUGAGGGGAGCAUGCUACAGAGAGAUUUCCCUGUGCCAUGCCUGUGGUGUAGAGGGGCUUCUGGAUGUGCUGAGGGACGGGUCCUGUAGGGCCUCAUUUUCUUCCUCCUCUGUAAACUAUGUCUAACUGCUUCAGUGAGAGAAAGCAUCAAGCCCCAUCUUGUUCAUAGAAAUACAACAUAUUUUAAAGCUGUAGUUAAUGGAUAAGCUGCUUUCUGAUUGGGUGAGCUGCACAAUAAAUCUCUCUGUGAGCCAAGUGCAGUGCAGCUUGUUCAGGAACAGUGAAAUGAGCCACUGUCACUUUGCUGCACUCUCAUACAUCAGGCAAAACGCUUCCAUCUUCAUCAGUCUUUUUGUAAAACAGAAAUAAAACAAUCGUAACAGAAUGGUGUCACUGGAUCCGUGGCACCUGCUUUAAAAAUAAAUCUCUGAGCUUUGUCUUUGCUAUUACUUUCAAUAGAUGUCCUAGCAUUGCCACAGCAUUUAUCUAGCAGCAGGAAACCAUUAUCCUAUGACAACAAUCUAUUCCAUUAACAUUAGCUCUUAAUUGUAAGAUUGUUUAUAAGACAGCAAAAGCUACUGAAUUAUACUAGAAUGAUAAAAAGAGUUAUGGUCAUGGAGUAUAGCAGUCACUCCAGUUCUGAAAAACAACUUUAGAAAAGUAGAGAGCUAUAUUUUCAUAUGAAAAAUAAUGCAAUAUUUGUAUGCAAGAAAAUGUUUUUAAAUAAUGGAUCACAUCAGCAAAAUAACUCUUAAAGAGUUAAUGUUAAAAAUUGUUACUGAGAAGCCUUUGCUUUGAUAAAUGGCGUAAUGAAAAAGCUGAAUAGAAAGCUUAGAAACUUGCACAGUUCUUCCUGAAAGGCUGUACUGAGUCAAACAGAGAAAUCAUAGUAACAGAAGCACAUUUGUUUGGCGGAGCCAACAGAAGGAAUGUUGCAAAAUUGAGAUAUGAAGAACCUAACUGCAGAAUAGAAGAACUGUCAUUCUGAUUGUUUGUCAUUAUUGUUUCAUGUCCAGUGAAGUGAACUUCGAGUGACAGUUGUGUCAUAACUACUGGCAUCUAUGUAAAUUUCAAAUCAAAUGCAAUAGAGGCAAUUCUGCCAGACACAACUCACCAGACUGCUUUUCCUCUUUACUUUUGUAACCCUCAAUUUUCUUAUACUAUGCUGCUAGCCCUUAAAUUAAAAAGACAACUUCAACAAGAGAUCCCUUUAAUAUGUGCUUUUCAAAUCUCAUUCCAUACCUUAUUUUCCCUCACUUCUUUGAAACAAUAGCUCACGUCAACAUUUCUAUCAGAAAGAAUCACCAUAAUCACCAGAUAUAUUAGCAGAAACUGCUCCUUCCCAUUGACCACAUACGCCAAAAUCCUUGGAAACUCUUAAGCCGUGGACUUCCCCUGAAGACAUACAGAGAAAAUGGCUCAAGCGAACACUCCUCCAUUCCUUCAGUGGAGCCCAGGUCAGCUGUGACAAGCAUCUGCUCUGUGGGUAGGUGCAAAAUACACGACAAAGAUAUCGGCCGUGGAUCCCUUCUGUAAACGAUGACCUCAUCCGGAGGUUAUGGGACCUUCACGAGGAUACCAGUCGUACUCCUCCAUGGCGAUGUGUUACAGUGAGUAACUCGCUUCCUGGAUGCACUUGUAACAGGCAGAUAUCCUAACAACACAGGAUACGCAGACAUGUCCAGGUCUUUAAAAAGUCUUCCAAUGCAAUUAUUAAGGUAUUACGUGCUGAUAAUGCCACCAAAAACAUUGAGCAUGCUGUUCAUUCAGUUGGGCAUGAAACUACUUCCUUCUGAAUAUUUUAAAUGUACUUGGCUAAUUAAUUAAACAAUUAAUAAGGGCUACAGUUAAGUUUCUGUUUUUCAUUGUAACAAAUUAUUCCAGAGCAUUGUUUUUACUGAAUUCUGCAUAGGACUCUUUUUGGACACCACACCGAAGUGCAGCUACGAUGUUAAAAGAAAAAUGUUCCUUUGACAAAUGAAAUCUUUAAAAUGGCAACAAGCAAGGAAAAAGUCAGCUCUGAGUGGAAAACAUUUAAUAUGUUUUGAUGAUUUCUUAUCUCAGACAGAAGAGAAGACAAGUUGAUUUUCUCUGCUGAAACUUUUUGAAGUGAGUUCUGACUGAAAAGAUGUGGUGGUGUUUUAACAAAAACAUAUUGUUAUAAAACAUGAUGUAUGCUCAGAAGUAUUAAUGUGUACCUCUCUGCUUCAGGUUUGAACAUUUCAGUCGAGUGAACUAGCCUGUUCCAUUUAUUUUUUAAAUUCUUAUCCAGUUGAUCUUUUUUUUUUGUUGUUCUUUAAGUUUACAGUAGUUCAAUGGCUACUUUUAUCUCUGAUUUAGGCUUUCAAACAGCACCAAACUCUGCCGUCCCAUCCUGUAAUCUGUCCAUUUAUUAUGGUGACUGGUGAACAGAGGCAACAUGUUAGUGCAAGCACUGUAAAAAUAUCUGUGGAGAAAACAUUCUUUCACUCUAAAGGAUAAGUUCCAUAAGAAUGUAUAUUCUCCAGUAUUUGCAAAAGUACGGUACGGAUUUUUCUUGUUAAAGGUGGCAAUGUCUGAAUCGCAAAUAAUUUCACGUUUAUAUGAGAGACAAUAUAUCAUUUUACAGAUCUGUAAUCAUGGAAAUCAAUGGCCAGUAUCCAUUUAAGAAAAUCGAAAUAAUUUAACUGAUUUACUUAAACAAUGCCUUGUUAGACUACGGAAUUUAAAGUCCUCUUUCAAAAUGAAGGUUGUUUUAAGUAGCGAACUUAUUAUUACAUACUACAUUCUAGUGGCACGUAAACACUUCUGAUUUAAAACAUGAAUUCCGUGUAAGUUCAAACUGAUGUCUUUGACUUUAGUUACAGAACUCAAUUUCAGGACUUUCUGCUGCUGGUGGCUGUAUAUCAGUUCUUCCAAUAGGGAUGUGCUCAGGACAAAUUAGUGAACGUAAUUUUAGCUGUAUGAGGUCAUUACAAAUACAGCCUUAGCUCUUCCUAGAGUGGACUUCAUUGUUAAUAUAAAUAUAUAUCUAUAGUUACUGACAUUUAUAUUAUUUGGCUCCUGUCCUAAGUUAUGGAUACAGUGAUGAUAAAAGCCCUUACCUAAGUGAGUCAUGCUUACUAAUUACUUCCAUGGUACUGGGUUCCUGUAAAUAAAGUUACUCAUGUAUUUAUAAGCAAGUCAAAAUUUAUACAUAUGUUUCUAAGAGUGAGUUAUCUUUCUCUCUGGGGCAAACAGCACAGUCUGCUGUUUGGAAAAGAAUGCUGAGAGUAAGGACAUCCAGGGUGCUUCCUCGCUUCUGCAAGGGUGCGUGCUCUCCUCUGCCAUUGGAUAUCCAACUAAAAUACUUAAUUUGGUCACAUUUUUUAAACUGUUUAAGACCCUUCUGCAUUACUUCAAGGUAGGAAAUGGCUGUUGAUUUUUCCUCGCUGUUUCCAAAGAGGCUGCGGUAAGAGGGUUUCAGUCUAAUUGUUUGCUCUAAAGAUGUAGCGUUCAAGACACAAAGCCUAGCAGUGUGACGUGGAAGAUAUCAAGACAAAGCAGCAGCCUCAACAUCUCUCUCUAAUGAGAACAGGAAAAGACAAUUGAGAUCCCGUAGGAAUGCAGUAUAUUUAGGAGAGAAGCAGAGCUCCUUUCACGAAUGGAGAGAGAACCCUGGUGAAUGCUGGACUACCUGCUAUCUCUGGGUGUGACUAGGUGAGUGAAGGAUUUGGAUCACAGCCUGUAACGUUUUCCAGACAUUUAGAGUGCAACUACUACAACUACUACGCCAGCAAUUUUAUGCCUUCCUUUCCCUGACUCCAACAGUAUGCGAGAUAAGCAGCCAGAUUUUCUUCUGCAUUGUGUUUUUUUAUCCAUUCAGCCAAAAUUAACAGUCUUCAAGGAUAAUGUAUGCCAAGCGAAUUUAAAUCUUGCGGACUCAAAUCGACCUAAAGUUGAUGGAUACAUUCAUGCCUACUGCUGAAAUCUACCAAUUACACAGAACUAUGCUAACUUACCAUAGAAACAUCUCAUCUAAUAGCACAGAUGAUGUUGAACUAACUAAUUACAUUAUGGCACAUAGACAAUGAAAAACAUAACGAAGAUGACAGCACAGCAACAACAGAUGCUGCACAAAAGAAAAAUUAGAAAAAUAUUGCUCUGCAAAAUGCUGUCUGUUAAGGUUUCUUCUGUUAAAAUUAAUCACAAAAAUUAGUGAAGAUUAGAUUUCAGCAGAAGAUACGAGCAUUGUAAUGCUAUUUGGAAAACGUCAUUAAACCAUUUAAAGUCCUACUCUUUCAGAAGGUAAUUCCCCCUUUUUUUUUUGUAUCACUGUCGGCUUUAAGAUGAGUAAACAGUUCAGUGCCGAUGGCAGAGUUUCUUGGGAGGAUGUCUUUCCCAGUGAGGAGAGGUCCCGAUGGCUCUUCCAGAGCCGUGUUUGGUAGCUUCCAGCCAUUAGAGCUUAGAUAAUUAGGCAACUCAGAUUUUAUUUUAGCUUGGCAUUUGCUCUGUUCUGUGCUCUUGGCUGUCAGUGACAGUUGAUUAUCUGUAGCGUGCCUUGUUACUUUAUAUAUUUUAAACUGUAACAGAUCCUAAAUACCAAAUCUGAAACUGCUGAGUAUGUUUAAAUGUAAUAUAUACAUGGGGAUUACAUCCAGAUGAUGUACUUCAUAGACCUGUGAUAAAAAAAAAUGCAUCACUUCUAGCCCACGCCGGUCCUCACCCCCUCCCCCGGUAGCUUUCCAUGAGCUCCCGGCUGCUUCAGCACCGAUCCUGAACGUAAUCCAGCUGAUGGAGAGAGACAGAAAGGGGCUUUUCCCCUAAAUAUAUAUUUCCUCUAAAAAUACCUCUGAUGCUGCUCAAGUUUCAAUACCUUACUGGCUUUAUAAGAAAGCAAAACAUAUAUUUGA